UAAGGAAUAUUGGACAAUGGGGGCAACCCUGAUCCAGCCAUCCCGCGUGCAGGAAGACGGCCCUAGGGGUUGUAAACUGCUUUUAGAAGGGAAGAACUGCCCAGUCGUGCACUGGGUUUGACGGUACCUUCAGAAUAAGCACCGGCUAACUCCGUGCCAGCAGCCGCGGUAAUACGGAGGGUGCAAGCGUUAUCCGGAAUCACUGGGUUUAAAGGGUGCGUAGGCUGACAUUCAAGUCAGAGGUGAAAUACUUCCGCUUAACGGGAGAAUUGCCUUUGAAACUGAGUGUCUUGAAUAGAGUUGAGGUUAGCGGAAUGUGGCAUGUAGCGGUGAAAUGCAUAGAUAUGCCAUAGAACACCAAUUGCGAAGGCAGCUAACUGGGCUUUGAUUGACGCUGAGGCACGAAAGCAUGGGGAGCGAACAGGAUUAGAUACCCCCGUAGUCC
rnacentral:rRNA from 1 species